rnacentral:rRNA from 1 species
AACGAACGCUGGCGGCAGGCUUAACACAUGCAAGUCGAGCGCCCCGCAAGGGGAGCGGCAGACGGGUGAGUAACGCGUGGGAAUCUACCCAUCUCUACGGAAUAACGCAUGGAAACGUGUGCUAAUACCGUAUACGUCCUCCGGGAGAAAGAUUUAUCGGAGAUGGAUGAGCCCGCGUUGGAUUAGCUAGUUGGUGGGGUAAAGGCCUACCAAGGCGACGAUCCAUAGCUGGUCUGAGAGGAUGAUCAGCCACACUGGGACUGAGGCACGGCCCAGACUCCUACGGGAGGCAGCAGUGGGGAAUAUUGGACAAUGGGCGCAAGCCUGAUCCAGCCAUGCCGCGUGAGUGAUGAAGGCCCUAGGGUUGUAAAGCUCUUUCACCGGUGAAGAUAAUGACGGUAACCGGAGAAGAAGCCCCGGCUAACUUCGUGCCAGCAGCCACCGUAACAC